rnacentral:SRP_RNA from 1 species
GGGCUGGGCAGUCGCCGCCCUCUGUAAGCGGUAGGCCUCGUUGCGGGGGCCUUCG